CCUACGGGAGGCAGCUGUGGGGAAUAUUGCACAAUGGGGGAAGCCCUGAUGCAGCGACGCCGCGUGAAGGAAGAAGUAUUUCGGUAUGUAAACUUCUAUCAGCAGGGAAGAAAAUGACGGUACCUGACUAAGAAGCCCCGGCUAACUGCGUGCCAGCAGCCGCGGUAAUACGUAGGGGGCAAGCGUUAUCCGGAUUUACUGGGUGUAAAGGGAGCGUAGGCGGUGCAGCAAGUCAGAAGUGAAAGCCCGGGGCUCAACUCCGGGACUGCUUUUGAAACUGCUGAACUAGAUUGCAGGAGAGGUAA
rnacentral:rRNA from 1 species